ensembl:snRNA U2 U2 spliceosomal RNA
ACCGCUUCUCGGCCUUUUGGCUAAGAUCAAGUGUAGUAUCUGUUCUUAUCAGUUUAAUAUCUGAUACGUCCCCCAGCGUGGGACAACAUAUUAAACAGAUUUUUAGGGGCUUGAUCCAUCCGCUCCACGCAUCGACCCAGUAUUGCAGUGCCUCUGGGAGCGGUGCACGUUCU